rnacentral:lncRNA from 1 species
GAGCCCUUCUGCACCUAAGCCCUUUCCAGGCUGGGGCGGCUAAGGGUGGCGUCAGGACCCUGGUCCUCGGGCCACCUUGGAAGAGCAGGGCCGAGCUGCCUGGGUUGGCUCCACCUCCCAUUUGCUGUGUGGCCUCAGGGAAGCAAUCUGAACUUUAGGAACCUCUGUCUCUUCCUCUGGGCCGUGGGGAUCAUCAAGGCUGCCCUUUGACGUUGGCCUGAAGGUCAGUGGUGUUUGUCAGGGGUCCUGAACACAGUGGGCCUUCAGGUGAAUGGUACCUGGUACUGUCGUGAUGACUUAGCCCCGUUCAAAACUCUGUAGGUGUUUACUUCUUUAAAGUCCAAGCCGUCGGGAUCCACCGACAUCUGUGAUCCAUGAAUUCAAAUCCCCAAAUUAAGCAUCAAUGAGACUGGAGCAGGAAGGAGGUGCUCCACAGGCCUCCAGUUCGUCAUCCCAGCCAGAGCUCGUCACAGGCAGGGCAGCUUCCUCUUCUAUCAGCUGUUCACGGAGAGGAGAGCACAGAGUGAAAGAGGAGACCCGUGCCAAGGAGCUGGCACCUCCGACAAGGGGACUGUCUCAGCAACUGGAGUGCUGUCACUGGCCUGGCUACUGUCUGUGUCCUGGGACGAGCUGGUCUGGCCCAGGCGCCCUCUGGGACAGAGGCAGCCUCCUAAUAGGCAACCGGAGGGUCAAGACUUGAGCAUUUAACAUCCCAUUACGUGUCCCGGAAAGACUUCUGCCCGGUCAUUACUGCUUAAUUAGACCCUCUCCCAGUGCCUUGAUGAGGCCAUAACAGGAGCCUUCAGGAACUCGACGGUGAUGGAGAGUCCCGCUCUGUGGCCAUGGGCACCACACCUGAUGCGACAGUCUCUGCGAUGGGCAGAAGUGUAGGACGUGGAGUGACCCCAAAGAGCCAGUGGGGCCUAAAUCCCUUUUGCAAUUUGGCGGAAAAGCUUGCAUUUGUGUUGUUUUGUUGGUUUCCAGAAUGGCCUUUUUGAGGGCCCCCUUUCAGGAUUUCCACCUUACAUUGUAUCUUUCAGUCUUUUCUUUGUACGUUGCUUUUGUGGGUGGCAGGAUGGCAUCUGGAAGGAGGGCAGAAUGGGGGACACACAUCACCACACCUGUCUGCGCCUCAGUUUCUCUAGCUAGGAAAGCGGGAUAUUGAUGCCUAGCCUGCCUUCCUGUGGGCCCUUCAGACCACCGAGUGAUAUCAUUGGUGUGCAAAUGCUUUGCAAACCAUGAACUAGGACAUUGUGGGUUUACUUCUGAUGAAGGUUAAAAAAAAAACAGCCUCUGCUCUUUGUAGUCAAGACUGGCCUGUAUGUUUGCACUUAUCCCCCCAGUGGAGCACAAUUACCUGCCCUUUUCUACUUUCCCGGCAGUUUUACACACAGACUCCUACAGAUUGCACACCUAGCUCUCUCUGAUCGGUUACACUCAAUCGACUACUUGAUCACGUCCUUGCCUAUGCACCCUCACUGGAUCUUGUGCUCCCAUGGGGCAAGGACCGAGCCUCACUCACUCCCGUAUCCCAAGGGCCCAGCAGAAGGCCUGAAACUGACCAUGUGCACUGUGAUGGGCAGAAUUGUGUCCCCCCAGCUUCAUACAUUGACAUCCUAACCCCCAGCAUCUCAGAAGGUGACUGGAUUUGGAGAUAGGUCUUUACAAAGGUAAUUAAGGUAGAAUAAAAUCAUUAGGGUGGACCCUAAUCCA